rnacentral:rRNA from 1 species
CAGUAGCCGCGGUAAUACGGAGGGAGCUAGCGUUGUUCGGAAUUACUGGGCGUAAAGCGCGCGUAGGCGGUUACUCAAGUCAGAGGUGAAAGCCCGGGGCUCAACCUCGGAACUGCCUUUGAAACUAGGUGACUAGAAUCUUGGAGAGGUCAGUGGAAUUCCGAGUGUAGAGGUGAAAUUCGUAGAUAUUCGGAAGAACACCAGUGGCGAAGGCGACUGACUGGACAAGUAUUGACGCUGAGGUGCGAAAGCGUGGGGAGCAAACAGGAUUAGAUACCCCGGUAGUCCCUGUCUCUUAUAC